rnacentral:rRNA from 1 species
GAUGAACGCUGGAGAAGUGCAUAAUACAUGCAAGUCGAGCGAACGGAAAAACACCAUGAUUCUCAGAUGUUAGCGGCGGACGGGUGAGUAACACGUGGAUAACCUACCUAUAAGACUGGGAUAACUUCGGGAAACCGGAGCUAAUACCGGAUAAUAUUUUGAACCGCAUGGUUCAAAAGUGAAAGACGGUCUUGCUGUCACUUAUAGAUGGAUCCGCGCUGCAUUAGCUAGUUGGUAAGGUAACGGCUUACCAAGGCAACGAUGCAUAGCCGACCUGAGAGGGUGAUCGGCCACACUGGAACUGAGACACGGUCCAGACUCCUACGGGAGGCAGCAGUAGGGAAUCUUCCGCAAUGGGCGAAAGCCUGACGGAGCAACGCCGCGUGAGUGAUGAAGGUCUUCGGAUCGUAAAACUCUGUUAUUAGGGAAGAACAUAUGUGUAAGUAACUGUGCACAUCUUGACGGUACCUAAUCAGAAAGCCACGGCUAACUACGUG